GCACCGGGCAGAUCGGGAUACUCAUCAAAUAAAACCGAAAACCGAGGGUCGUUCUUCUGCCAAUGGCGGGCCACAUAAACUCCUUCGGGAGCUAAGCUGCAAAGCCGGUGGAUUACAAAGGCGUGGAAUCCUCAAAUCUUGUCAUCAGGAGUUUUCAUCACAUCGCGGUGCAUCCCUUU
rnacentral:sRNA from 1 species